CCUACGGGGCGCAGCAGGCGCGAAAACUUUACAAUGUGCGAAAGCACGAUAAGGGAACUCUGAGUGCCUCCUAAGGAGGCUGUUCAGAUGUUUAAAAAGCAUCUGGAGGAAGGGCUGGGCAAGACCGGUGCCAGCCGCCGCGGUAACACCGGCAGCCCAAGUGGUGGUCAUGCUUACUGGGUCUAAAGCGUCCGUAGCCGGCCAGGUAGGUUCCUUGGGAAAUUUGAUCGCUUAACGAUCAAGCUACCUGGGAAUACUACCUGGCUUGGGACCGGGAGAGGUCAGAGGUACCUCAAGGGUAGGGGUGAAAUCCGUUAAUCCUUGGGGGACCACCGGUAGCGAAGGCGCCUGACCAGACCGGAUCCGACGGUGAGGGACGAAGGCUAGGGGAGCGAAGCGGAUUAGAUACCCGCGUAGUCCUAGCUGUAAACGAUGCGGGCUAGGUGUUGGCAUUACUGCGAGUGAUGCCAGUGCCGAAGGGAAGCCGUUAAGCCCGCCAUCUGGGGAGUACGGUCGCAAGGCUGAAACAUAAAGGAAUUGGCGGGGGAGCACCACAACGGGUGGAGCUUGCGGUUCAAUUGGAUUCAACGCCGGAAAUCUCACCGGAGGGGACAGCGAGAUGAAGGUCAGGCUAAAGACCUUACCAGAUUAGCUGAGAGGAGGUGCAUGGCC
rnacentral:rRNA from 1 species